AACGCUGGCGGCGUGCCUAAUACAUGCAAGUCGAACGCACUCUCGUUUAGAUUGAAGGAGCUUGCUCCUGAUUGAUAAACAUUUGAGUGAGUGGCGGACGGGUGAGUAACACGUGGGUAACCUGCCCUAAAGUGGGGGAUAACAUUUGGAAACAGAUGCUAAUACCGCAUAAAACCUAACACCGCAUGGUGUAGGGUUGAAAGAUGGUUUCGGCUAUCACUUUAGGAUGGACCCGCGGUGCAUUAGUUAGUUGGUGAGGUAAAGGCUCACCAAGACCGUGAUGCAUAGCCGACCUGAGAGGGUAAUCGGCCACACUGGGACUGAGACACGGCCCAGACUCCUACGGGAGGCAGCAGUAGGGAAUCUUCCACAAUGGACGAAAGUCUGAUGGAGCAACGCCGCGUGAGUGAAGAAGGUUUUCGGAUCGUAAAACUCUGUUGUUGGAGAAGAAUGUAUCUGAUAGUAACUGAUCAGGUAGUGACGGUAUCCAACCAGAAAGCCACGGCUAACUA
rnacentral:rRNA from 2 species